CCAAAACAUGUAAAAUAUAUUAUGAUGAAUGUACACUAUGCCCCUCCUGUGCUGUCUCAUAUUUAACUAUUGUAAAGCUACGGCUAAAUAAUAAUAUAUGUAAGAGACAGCCAGUUCCCCGCGUUAACACCAGCGAACACGAACUCCAAGCCAGCCCUACGACUUGUAAACGUUUUAUUUAGUGUUGUUGGGAGGACAAGUUUCAUAAAGCAGAAGCACGAUUAGAUCAGCAAUACCUGCGGUCCUUUACAAUUAGUAAAUUAUCUUGAGACAUAUCACUACGUGUGCACCUUAUAGUUGAAACGAACAUGUCCAGCAACUUGACACCAAUAUUGAAAUAUGAUGCCAAAUGUCUUCAAGGUAGGAGUGCAAAAAGAAGUUAAUUGGAUUUAUGAUGUUAACAUGCAACAUGUGUUUGAUUGUCUUAUGGAAAUGAUGAGCAACUAUUUACUAUUUAAUCCUUUUCUAUUAUGUGUUUUUAAAGAUCUUUUUUAAUAUAUUGUAUUGUAUUAAUUUUAAUAUUUGGGUUUUAUAACAGAUCUGUUAAAUCUUAUACAAGUUAGUAAAUAAAUAAGUUAUACCAUGUACGUAUAUCUACCGAAUGACUGAUUUAGUAAGUAAAUUAUAGGGGAAAAAAAUGUACGUACAAAUAAAUAUAUUUUAAAGAACCAUCAUAAAAUUAAAUUAUUAUUAAGAUACUGUGAAUGUAUGAUUUGAAUUCAUUAUACAAAACGUUAUUGUGAAAAUAAAUGUAGGGGAGCUUAUAGUUGAGCAAAACGUUAGAUUUCGAAGAGGGAUAGCUAAGAUCAAAGAGUCAUAAAUAAAAUCAUUUUUCCUAAGAAAAUUAGACUUAUAGUGAAAAAUAAGUAGUAAAAGAAGUAAUAUAUAUAAUAUAUACUUAUAUAGUAAUAUAAGUAGUAAGUAAAAUAAGUUAAGCAAUAGCUGAAUAUUGGCUCAAUAAUAAAAGUUUUUCAAAAAUGUAUUUAAAACAUGGCCAAUAUCUUGUUUUUAUUAACGUUGUUUUAACAAUAUCUAUUUAAUAUUUUAGACGCUAAUUUAACCAUAAUGGUAUUAUAUAUAUUACAGAGGUAAUUUUAAUAGGUAAUUACCCGGAGAGAUGUUGGAACAUAGUUCGUUUGAUUAGUCAUCGGUUUAGUUGACGUUUGCUAUUCAGUCGAAUUGAGAAUGUUAAAAUGAAUUUAUUUUACGAUGUUUUAGUAUUCAAAAAGCUCUUUACCAUUCGUAUUGACUAAAUGCAAAUAAAAACUACGCUUGAUUCAUUUACAGAUUUUUAUAUGCUUGCUUAUUAUUUAAUCAAAGAAUAAAUAUAUACAUAACUUUGGUUACUUUUAUAAUUACAAUUUAAUUUAAAAAAU